GUCUACGGCCAUGCCACCCUGAAUGUGCCCGAUCUCAUCCAAUCUUGAAAGCUAAGCAGGGUUGAGCCUGUUUAGUACUUGGAUGGGAGACCACGCAGGAAUACUAGGUGCUGUAGGCA
rnacentral:rRNA from 1 species